AACGAACGCUGGCGGCAGGCUUAACACAUGCAAGUCGAGCGCCCCGCAAGGGGAGCGGCAGACGGGUGAGUAACGCGUGGGAAUCUACCCAUCUCUACGGAAUAACGCAUGGAAACGUGUGCUAAUACCGUAUACGUCCUUCGGGAGAAAGAUUUAUUGGAGAUGGAUGAGCCCGCGUUGGAUUAGCUAGUUGGUGGGGUAAAGGCCUACCAAGGCGACGAUCCAUAGCUGGUCCGAGAGGAUGAUCAGCCACACUGGGACUGAGACACGGCCCAGACUCCUACGGGAGGCAGCAGUGGGGAAUAUUGGACAAUGGACGCAAGCCUGAUCCAGCCAUGCCGCGUGAGUGAUGAAGGCCCUAGGGUUGUAAAGCUCUUUCACCGGUGAAGAUAAUGACGGUAACCGGAGAAGAAGCCCCGGCUAACUUCGUGCCAGCCGCCGCCGUAACAC
rnacentral:rRNA from 1 species